UACGUAGGGUGCGAGCGUUGUUCGGAAUUACUGGGCGUAAAGGGCGCGUAGGCGGUUCGGCAAGUCUCUAGUGAAAUCUCUGGGCUCAACUCAGAGUCUGCUGGGGAAACUGCCGGGCUUGAGUGUGGGAGAGGAGAGUGGAAUUCCCGGUGUAGCGGUGAAAUGCGUAGAUAUCGGGAAGGAACACCUGUGGCGAAAGCGGCUCUCUGGACCA
rnacentral:rRNA from 1 species